CAGGCCUAACACAUGCAAGUUGAACGGCAGCACGGGAGCAAUCCUGGUGGCGAGUGGCGAACGGGUGAGUAAUAUAUCGGAACGUGCCCAGUAGUGGGGGAUAGCCCGGCGAAAGCGAAUUUAAUACCGCAUACGACCUGAGGGUGAAAGCGGGGGAUCGCAAGACCUCGCGCUAUUGGAGCGGCCGAUAUCAGAUUAGCUAGUUGGUGGGGUAAAGGCCUACCAAGGCUACGUGAUCUGUAGUUGGUCUGAGAGGACGACCAGCCACACUGGGACUGAGACACGGCCCAGACUCCUACGGGAGGCAGCAGUGGGGAAUUUUGGACAAUGGGCGCAAGCUGGAUCCAGCAAUGCCGCGUGCAGGAAGAAGGCCUUCGGGUUGUAAACUGCUUUUGUCAGGGAAGAAAUCUUCUGGGCUAAUACCCGGGAGGAUGACGGUACCUGAAGAAUAAACACCGGCUAGCUACGUGCCACA
rnacentral:rRNA from 1 species